UCCCAUAUGGUGUAGUGGUUAGCAUAACGCUCUCUCAUCUCGAUGAGUGUGCAGCGUAGACCCUGGUUCGAUUCCUGGUAUGGGAG